rnacentral:rRNA from 1 species
GNUAUUGGUNAUGGCAGGCAACUCUGACCAGCCAUGCCGCGUGCAGGAUGACGGCCCUAUGGGUUGUAAACUGCUUUUAUACAAGAGAAAACCCUGGUACGUGUACCAGGUUGAUAGUAUUGUAAGAAUAAGCAUCGGCUAACUUCGUGCCAGCAGCCGCGGUAAGACGAAGGAUGCAAGCGUUAUCCGGAUUCAUUGGGUUUAAAGGGUGCGUAGGCGGACUGAUAAGUCAGUGGUGAAAUCUCUUUGCUUAACAAAGAAACUGCCAUUGAUACUGUCGGUCUAGAGUAUAGAUGACGUUGGCNGGAAUAUGACAUGUAGUGGUGAAAUACUUAGAUAUGUCAUAGAACACCGAUUGCGAAGGCAGCUAACGAAACUAUAACUGACGCUGAGGCACGAAAGUGCGGGGAUCAAACAGGAUUAGAUACCCUGGUAGUCCGCACCGUAAACGAUGAUUACUCGUUGUUGGCGAUAUGACAGUCAGCGACCAAGCGAAAGCGAUAAGUAAUCCACCUGGGGAGUACGCCNGGCAACGGGUGAAACUCAAAAAAAUUGACGGAA